GCGAACGGGUGAGUAACACGUGAGUAACCUGCCCUUAACUUCGGGAUAAGCCUGGGAAACUGGGUCUAAUACCGGAUACGACCAUCUGGCGCAUGCCAUGGUGGUGGAAAGCUUUAUGCGGUUUUGGAUGGACUCGCGGCCUAUCAGCUUGUUGGUUGGGGUAAUGGCCCACCAAGGCGACGACGGGUAGCCGGCCUGAGAGGGUGACCGGCCACACUGGGACUGAGACACGGCCCAGACUCCUACGGGAGGCAGCAGUGGGGAAUAUUGCACAAUGGGCGAAAGCCUGAUGCAGCGACGCCGCGUGAGGGAUGACGGCCUUCGGGUUGUAAACCUCUUUCAGCAGGGAAGAAGCGAAAGUGACGGUACCUGCAGAAGAAGCGCCGGCUAACUACGUGCCAGCAGCCGCGGUAAUACGUAGGGCGCAAGCGUUAUCCGGAAUUAUUGGGCGUAAAGAGCUCGUAGGCGGUUUGUCGCGUCUGCUGUGAAAGCCCGGGGCUCAACCCCGGGUCUGCAGUGGGUACGGGCAGACUAGAGUGCAGUAGGGGAGACUGGAAUUCCUGGUGUAGCGGUGAAAUGCGCAGAUAUCAGGAGGAACACCGAUGGCGAAGGCAGGUCUCUGGGCUGUAACUGACGCUGAGGAGCGAAAGCAUGGGGAGCGAACAGGAUUAGAUACCCUGGUAGUCCAUGCCGUAAACGUUGGGCACUAGGUGUGGGGGACAUUCCACGUUUUCCGCGCCGUAGCUAACGCAUUAAGUGCCCCGCCUGGGGAGUACGGCCGCAAGGCUAAA
rnacentral:rRNA from 1 species